rnacentral:rRNA from 1 species
CAGUCGAACGGUGAAGCAGAGCUUGCUCUGUGGAUCAGUGGCGAACGGGUGAGUAACACGUGAGCAACCUGCCCCUGACUCUGGGAUAAGCGCUGGAACGUCUAAUACUGGAUAUGAGCUGCGAUCGCAUGGUCAGCAGUUGGAAAGAUUUUUCGGUCUGGGAUGGGCUCACGGCCUAUCAGCUUGUUGGUGAGGUAAUGGCUCACCAAGGCGUCGACGGGUAGCCGGCCUGAGAGUGACCGGCCACACUGGGACUGAGACACGGCCCAGACUCCUACGGGAGGCAGCAGUGGGGAAUAUUGCACAAUGGGCGAAAGCCUGAUGCAGCAACGCCGCGUGAGGGAUGACGGCCUUCGGGUUGUAAACCUCUUUUAGCAGGGAAGAAGCGAAAGUGACGGUACCUGCAGAAAAAGCGCCGGCUAACUACGUGCCAGCAGCCGCGGUAAUACGUAGGGCGCAAGCGUUAUCCGGAAUUAUUGGGCGUAAAGAGCUCGUAGGCGGUUUGUCGCGUCUGCUGUGAAAUCCCGAGGCUCAACCUCGGGUCUGCAGUGGGUACGGGCAGACUAGAGUGCGGUAGGGGAGAUUGGAAUUCCUGGUGUAGCGGUGGAAUGCGCAGAUAUCAGGAGGAACACCGAUGGCGAAGGCAGAUCUCUGGGCCGUUACUGACGCUGAGGAGCGAAAGGGUGGGGAGCAAACAGGCUUAGAUACCCUGGUAGUCCACCCCGUAAACGUUGGGAACUAGUUGUGGGGUCCAUUCCACGGAUUCCGUGACGCAGCUAACGCAUUAAGUUCCCCGCCUGGGGAGUACGGCCGCAAGGCUAAAACUCAAAGGAAUUGACGGGGACCCGCACAAGCGGCGGAGCAUGCGGAUUAAUUCGAUGCAACGCGAAGAACCUUA